GGAAACAAACUGCCAAGAUUCUGACCUUCAGCCUGCUUGAACACUGGUAUCAAGAGGAGAGAUGGCUGGUUGUCAGGCUGCUGGUUCUCUGCAAACCUGAAAUUUGACAAAUAAAUACCAAGUCACUUUUUGUUUUUAAAUGACUCCUUUUUCCUUCAUCUAAUUUGAAAGCAACCACUUCUUGUCUAAAGGAAAUUAACUAAAUCAUGAAGAACCAUUUUUUAAAUGAUAAUAUUUUGAGCACACCAGAUAACAGUAAAUAGUAAGCAGUUUCAGAUCAAAACAAACAUAGCUAUUCAUAGCCACUGGGAUUAGCAAGGCCACCAAUAUUCCUGGGGAUGAAGCCUAACUGCCUGUUGGUUGUGGAUGUCUUCCCCAACUCGAAUAGAUCGUGUCAGAUGUGGAAAUGUGACCCAGUGGCAAGUCUCUCAUGGAAGGUUAAUGCCAACUCUAUGGGUGUCUGUGGGAGGUUAUGUUUAUUUGAGACUUCUCCAUCGGGAUCACCUGGUGUCACCAAGUGUCCACUGGUACUGGGGUUUGCUGCCUACCUUCUUGCCAUGUCUAACGAAGUGGAAACAAGUGCA
rnacentral:sRNA from 1 species